rnacentral:lncRNA from 1 species
GCACCUGUCCUUCCGGCAGCAGCACGCUCUCCUUCAAGACAAGGUGCCCGUGCUCCUGUCCCUCGGAGCUGCCCCUCCCUGCCAGCUGCCACAUCCUCAUAAAUCUCUCGUCUAGAAAGGCGCGGCUCAGGACCUGCCUCAUUUGUCUGCUCAUGGUCCCUACUGGCCAUCGAGACAUAGGGAUGACUCCGCUUCCAGCCCUACCUGGCAGGGCACCUGGGAGAGCGGAUCCUGGGCACAGCUACCCUGAAGUCAUGGCUCGGGGUGUCUCUGUAGGGGCAGGAAAGAGGCGAGGCAGGCAAGGGAGGCAGAACCUCGUGGUGAGAAGUCACGUGCUUCAUGCUCAGAAGUUUGGCCUUGGUCCCGAGGACAAUGAUUGGCUCCUUCCAGGAACUGGAACCAUGGCCACCAGCAACUCCGGCCUCACGGGUUCCCUGAUUCACCGUCUUGCUUUGGUUCUGAUUGGACAAGACUCAGGAGAGGGCUUCUCACCCCCCGGAGUUGGGUUAUGCCCUGCUCAUGUGGCCGAGGGGUGGCCAGGACUGCAUGUUGCUGUGGGAGAAGGAGGGUUCUCCCGAGGAAGGGCUUUCUCUUAUGAAGGAAUAAAUGGGAACUGAGCAGACACAACAGUAUGCACCUGCCACAGCCCGCGGCGGUGUGUGAUGCUUUCCCUUUGGCACAAAGGCACCCACCGUUUCUCAGGACCAUGCGCUGACCUUCAGGACCCAGGUUAGCAGCCUUCCUCCCCAUACCCCUUCCUGACACAAAGGGACAGUGUCCCAGGAGGACUGCAGUUUGUCUCUCCCCCUUAAGCCCACCUAUCCUCUGGUUGCUUCACAAAGAUGGACUCUCUAGCGGGUGUGAUGAAGGGGUCGCCAUGAGAUAGAGUCUUAGCUGGUGGGCAGGAGAGGGGAGGAGGGGCCUGACUACCUCACUGAGGUCUCAACUAAGAUCAGCAAUAAGGGAUCGUUACAGAUGUUCUGCCCAAGAUGCAUUGUAAAGAGCAAUUCACUUUGUGAUUUUCCCACCGGUCCUGAAAGCUAAGCAGCGUGUGUUCUGACCUGCGGGGCCUCCUGGGGAAGCUGGAGGGCAGAGGGGUCCGUGCAGGCUUUAAGAGACCUGAGCAGGGUUCUGGAACCCCCCCUGGAGGAGGAGGCAACAAAGGACGGGGCUAGUGUGUCACGCACCUGGGGCACGAUCUG